GACGAACGCUGGCGGCGUGUCUAACACAUGCAAGUCGAGCGGAGUCGAUCGACGGAAGCCUUCGGGCGGAAGAUGGUUGACUUAGCGGCGGAUGGGUGAGUAACGCGUGGGCAACCUGCCUCGAAGACCGGGAUAACAGCCCGAAAGGGCUGCUAAUACCGGAUGUGGUCAAGGAUCCGCAUGGAUCUUUGAUUAAAGGGGAAACCCGUUUCGAGAUGGGCCCGCGUCCUAUCAGCUAGUUGGUGAGGUAAAAGCUCACCAAGGCGACGACGGGUAGCCGGCCUGAGAGGGUGACCGGCCACACUGGAACUGAGACACGGUCCAGACUCCUACGGGGGGCAGCAGUGGGGAAUCUUCCACAAUGGGCGAAAGCCUGACCCAGCGACGCCGCGUGAGGGAAGAAGGCCUUCGGGUCGUAAACCUCUGUCAUGGGGGAAGAAGCAAGUGACGGUACCCCAAGAGGAAGCCCCUGCUAACUACGUG
rnacentral:rRNA from 1 species